rnacentral:lncRNA from 1 species
UGUUCCAUGUCCAGUUCUAACCGUUGCUUCCUGACUUGCAUACAGAUUUCUCAGGAAGCAGGUCAGGUCAUCUGGUAAUCCCAUCUCUUUAAGAAUUUUCAGAUAAUUGCCAUUUAAUGAUAUUAAUCUUCUAAUCCAUGAAGCAUGAUUUUUUUUUUAUUGUGGUUUUAUCUAUCUAUCUAUAUAAUGAUAUGGGCCAUUACAAUAAUUUAAAGUUUUCAUUUUAGUGACAUUAAUUACAUUCAUAUUGUUUUGCAAUUAUCACCACUAUUUCUAUAAAUUUCCAUCACCCCAAAUGGAAACCAUGCUUUUCUUUAACCAGCAGUACUGAAAUUGCCAACUUACUAGUUACCAUAUGGUCUCCUAUGGCCCCCAAAAUUCUUUUUCAGAUCAGUAAUUUAACACCAAACCCUGAAUCCCAGGGAAUCCUGGUACUUGUCUUUAGAAGAAUAUAAAUGAGUCUUUGUUAAGAAAUUGGGCUUUAGAGUCUUCAAAUCCCAGCUCUGCCAUUGACAAGCAGGUUAAUUUACUUCUCUCAGUCUUCCAUUAUCAUAGACAAAUUUAAACGGUUUCAUUUCUAUCACCCUUCCAGGUGUGGGCAUCCCUAAAUGGGGUGCAGAGACUCCCAGGGAUACUCAGCAGCCUGCCACAUGCUGUGGAAGCCACAGAAUGAACACACACAUUGUCCAGGAACAUAUUUUUCCCCCACAAAGCUAACAUUAGGUAAUUUAACUGCAAAUGAGUUUUUAAACUUUUAUAGCAUACUAUAUAUAUAUAUAUAUAUAUAUAUAUAUAUAUAUAUUAUAGAAUUACAUGUAAGAUUUACACUCAUUAUAAUAUAAAAAAUAAGACUUACAAUAAAUCUAAAGCCUUUAUUUGUGUGCUGUGAGCUAACUCUUCUUCCUUUCCACCUCCCCACAUGCCCCUUAGCAAGUCUUCUACCCUUUAGUCUCCUUCUCAGGUCUAACAGACAUUCACUCUUCAUUCACAGCCCUUUUCCUACAGAACCUCAGAAUUCUCAACACAGCUCUCCAGGCAGGCACUGUUACUGUAUCAACUUGAAGUCUGUUUGCCAUCUCUGUUCAGCUAGUCAACAACUAUAUGCUUAACCUAUAUUUUACCAUUUCAGGCUAUUUGAAAUAAAAUUAGUAGUUCUGAAAAUCAAGGUGGUUUUAUUUACUUCUGGCUUUCCAAAGGUUAUGUUCUUCCUUUCAAAUUAUUUUACUUUCUCUGUUUUUACAUAUAAAUUAUAAUAAAGAUAAUGAAAGACAUCAGAUGAUAUGUUGACUUUAAAAAUGACAGUAUCCAUCAUGUCAUCUUAAAUCUGCUGGUCCAAAGGUAUUUAAAUUUUGUGUAACUUUGUUCUUCUAAUAGCCAUAAUGGAAAUCACAUGUCCACUAGUAUGAAAAAACCCUUUGGAAACAUCUUUGCAAAACACUUGUGGCUCAGAUGGGAAAGAAUCUGCCUGCAAUGCAAGAGACUCAGGUUCGAUCCCUGGGUCGGGAAGACAGCUUGGAGAAUUCCAUGGACAGAGGAGCCUGGUGUGUUACAGUCCAUGGGAGUUGCAAAGAGUCAGACAUGACUAAGUGAUUAAUUUUUUUUUUUCCAUGCACUGUGAUCAUUAGAUCCUAUUUAAGAAAGAUUAAAUUGUGUUUCAUUUCAUAUUUAGGAAAGGUUUGAUUUCUGUUUUAUUACAUCAAUUUAAACACAGAGGUUUGUUUGGGAUUCUUUUUUAGAUCCUCAUCUCUUUAUAGAGAGAUUCAGAGAUAGAAGAUGAAGAGAUGGACAAGGACAGGUAAAAGAACAAGUCUCUUUUUGAUUAAACCAUUAAAUAUCUAAACAUCUGUAUUUUUCUUCCCCGUGUCCUACCUACCAACUUUUUAUGAUCAGAAGCUAGCGUGACACAUUGCCUUAAUUUGUAUCUAGCUGUUGCUAAGCUGUCACUAUGGUACCAAUGCACUCAGGCAAAUAUAAUAGCUAAAAACAAAUGUGUAGGAAGAAAAUUUUGUCCCUAGCUCCCUCACCUCUCCUGUCAUCUGGAUGAGUAGUUCAACAUUGAAUUUCUGUGUCAUAAUUGCUUUACAUCUGUAACAAAACAAAUUAACCCGAAACUUUUGAAAACCAAAUUAUUACAGUGCAUAAAAAUAUAAUGAUGUCUGCAAAUGUCAUUUACAAAAGUCAUCACUAGUCUUUGUACCUAUACCUUGUAAUGAUUGAAACAGCCUGCGUGGUAACAGUGAUUGAUUUUUUUUGCCCUCAAGCAAUGUAAAACAGCAAAAAUACUGUCCUAUUAAUUAUAAUUUUAUGGUAAUGCAAUCACAAUGAAUGGCAUCUUUUUGUUCUUUCUCAAUGGUUAAAAUUUUUCAAAUAGUUUUAAAAUUUUCAAAUUCUAGUAGAUAAUUUCAGCAAAAUGACCUAAUGUAAGCUUUAUCUUCAAGAGUGGUAUAAAUAUAAACUGUACUCUCCAGUAUUAUAUCUCAGUCCUGUUACUUUCUUUGCCUCACUGCAUAUGCAAUUAAUCCAAAAGGAAAAGCUUAAUUUUCUUAAAAGGGCC